rnacentral:rRNA from 1 species
AUACGUAGGUCCCGAACGUUGCGCGAAAUUACUGGGCGUAAAGGGUCCGUAGGCGGUCUGGUAAGUGGAAGGUGAAAGCCUGGGGCUCAACUCCAGAAUUGCCUUCCAAACUGCCGGACUUGAGGCAGGGAGAGGUCGGUGGAAUUCCCGGUGUAGUGGUGAAAUGCGUAGAUAUCGGGAGGAACACCAGUGGCGAAGGCGGCCGACUGGAACUGUCCUGACGCUGAGGGACGAAAGCCAGGGGAGCGAACCGGAUUAGAUACCCUAGUAGUCC